rnacentral:other from 1 species
CUUUGCCUGAGGUGUACGCUGUUAGUUACGUCCCUGAGCCGAUAUUUAAAACUCCUUGAGUUGAAUUUCCAAUUGUUGGUGAGCAGGCUCGUUUACGAGAAGCCUAAAAAUAAUUUUAUUCGACUCCCUUGAACCGUAUGGUUCAAGGACUACAACUGAUGACGGCACUUCAGGUCUUUU